UCGGGAAUUUUGGGCAAUGGGCGAAAGCCUGACCCAGCAACGCCGCGUGAGGGAUGAAGUAUUUCGGUAUGUAAACCUCGAAAGAAUGGGAAGAAUAAAUGACGGUACCAUUUAUAAGCCCCGGCUAACUACGUGCCAGCAGCCGCGGUAAUACGUAGGGAGCAAGCGUUGUUCGGAUUUACUGGGCGUAAAGGGCGCGUAGGCGGCGCGGUAAGUCACUUGUGAAAUCUCUGAGCUUAACUCAGAACGGCCAAGUGAUACUGCUGUGCUAGAGUGCGGAAGAGGCAACCGGAAUUCUUGGUGUAGCGGUGAAAUGCGUAGAUAUCAAGAGGAACACCUGAGGCGAAGGCGGGUUGCUGGGCCGACACUGACGCUGAUGCGCGAAAGCCAGGGGAGCAAACG
rnacentral:rRNA from 1 species